rnacentral:rRNA from 1 species
AGAGCGAACGCUGGCGGCAGGCCUAACACAUGCAAGUCGAGCGCCCGUAGCAAUACGGGAGCGGCAGACGGGAUAGUAACACGUGGGAACGCGCCCUUCGGUUCGGAAUAACUCAGGGAAACUUGAGCUAAUACCGAAUACGCCCUUACGGGGAAAGAUUUAUUGCCGAAGGAACGGCCCGCGUCCGAUUAGCUAGUUGGUGAGGUAAUGGCUCACCAAGGCUACGAUCGGUAGCUGGUCUGAGAGGAUGACCAGCAUCACUGGGACUGAGACACGGCCCAGACUCCUACGGGAGGCAGCAGUGGGGAAUAUUGGACAAUGGGCGAAAGCCUGAUCCAGCCAUGCCGCGUGGAUGAUGAAGGCCUUAGGGUUGUAAACUGCUUUUAUGUGUGACGAAUAUGACGGUAGCAUAUGAAUAAGGAUCGGCUAACUCCGUGCCAGCAGCCGC